AGGUGAUUGGACAGUCUUGUUUCGCUCCACAGUAUCCGAAUCAUUAUUUUGUCGCGCAUUUUUUGUGUCAUUUUCCGGAAAUUACGAAAAUUGCCAAUGUAAUGGAAAAUGAUUUUACGGACAUCCAAAAAUUCUCUAAUCAAUAUGAUCUGUUCAGAUAAAUUUUUGUUGUUGACAAUUCUGAUUCGUAGCCUUUGAAAAGUUUUGUGCAAUUAUUGAAGAGAAUAGACCAACACCAUUGAUAUUUGGAAAAACUCAAUUUUUAAAUGUUUUUAAGAAAAAAAGAAUUAUUUCCGCAAAAACAGAGUAUUUUGGAUGUUUCAGGCUUUAAGUAAGUUUGGCUCCCACCAAAAAAAAAGAAAAAGAGAGAGGUAAUUUUGGACCAUCGGAGGGCAUAUAGGGCAAUGGACCCAAAAUCGGGUCUAGAAGGGUAAUUUCAGUACUUUAAUCGAGCGGGCUUUUUGUCCCGAGGGAAUUUCACAUGUAUUAUUCUGUUGCCCUAGAGGAUGUUAGGCGAUGAGCAAUAACCGAAUGUAUUUUUGUCCUAUCAAUUGUAAUAAACCGGAGAAUGAAGGUCGGACUUACCUCGAGGAGGAG
rnacentral:lncRNA from 1 species